rnacentral:rRNA from 1 species
UACAGAGGUGGCAAGCGUUGUUCGGAAUUACUGGGCGUAAAGGGCGCGUAGGCGGUCAUCUAAGUCAGACGUGAAAUCCCCCGGCUUAACCUGGGAACUGCGUCUGAUACUGGACGGCUUGAGUAUGGGAGAGGGAUGUAGAAUUCCAGGUGUAGCGGUGAAAUGCGUAGAUAUCUGGAGGAAUACCGGUGGCGAAGGCGGCAUCCUGGACCAUUACUGACGCUGAGGCGCGAAAGCUAGGGGAGCAAACGGG